CCUACGGGUGGCUGCAGUGAGGAAUAUUGGUCAAUGGGCGCGAGUCUGAACCAGCCAAGUAGCGUGAAGGAUGACUGCCCUACGGGCUGUAAACUUCUUUUAUACAGGAAUAAAGUCAGGUAAGUGUGCCUUUCUGUAUGUACCUUAUGAAUAAGGAUCGGCUAACUCCGUGCCAGCAGCCGCGGUAAUACGGAGGAUUCGAGCGUUAUCCGGAUUUAUUGGGUUUAAAGGGAGCGUAGAUGGGCUGUUAAGUCAGUGGUGAAAGUUUGAGGCUCAACCGUAAAAUUGCCAUUGAUACUGGCAGCCUUGAGUACAGUUGAGGUAGGCGGAAUUCGUGGUGUAGCGGUGAAAUGCUUAGAUAUCACGAAGAACUCCGAUUGCGAAGGCAGCUUACUAAGCUGCCACUGACAUUGAUGCUCGAAAGUGUGGGUAGCAAACAGGAUUAGAUACCCGGGUAGUC
rnacentral:rRNA from 1 species